AAUGAACGCUGGCGGCAUGCCUAACACAUGCAAGUCGAACGAAGGCCCGAUUUCGGUUGGGUCCUUAGUGGCGCACGGGUGCGUAACGCGUGGGAAUCUGCCCCUCGCUUCGGAAUAACAGUUAGAAAUGACUGCUAAUACCGGAUUAUGACGUAAGUCCAAAGAUUUAUCGCCGAGGGAUGAGCCCGCGUAGGAUUAGCUAGUUGGUGUGGUAAGAGCGCACCAAGGCGACGAUCCUUAGCUGGUCUGAGAGGAUGAUCAGCCACACUGGGACUGAGACACGGCCCAGACUCCUACGGGAGGCAGCAGUGGGGAAUAUUGGACAAUGGGCGAAAGCCUGAUCCAGCAAUGCCGAGUGAGUGAUGAAGGCCUUAGGGUUGUAAAGCUCUUUUACCCGGGAUGAUAAUGACAGUACCGGGAGAAUAAGCUCCGGCUAACUCCGUGCCAGCCGCCGCCGUAA
rnacentral:rRNA from 1 species